GAUGAACGCUGGCGGCGUGCCUAAUACAUGCAAGUCGAGCGAACGGACGAGAAGCUUGCUUCUCUGAUGUUAGCGGCGGACGGGUGAGUAACACGUGGAUAACCUACCUAUAAGACUGGGAUAACUUCGGGAAACCGGAGCUAAUACCGUAUAAUAUUUUGAACCGCAUGGUUCAAAAGUGAAAGACGGUCUUGCUGUCACUUAUAGAUGGAUCCGCGCUGCAUUAGCUAGUUGGUAAGGUAACGGCUUACCAAGGCAACGAUGCAUAGCAGACCUGAGAGGGUGAUCGGCCACACUGGAACUGAGACACGGUCCAGACUCCUACGGGAGGCAGCAGUAGGGAAUCUUCCACAAAGGGCGAAAGCCUGACGGAGCAACGCCGCGUGAGUGAUGAAGGUCUUCGGAUCGUAAAACUCUGUUAUUAGGAAAGAACAUAUGUGUAAGUAACUGUGCACAUCUUGACGGUACCUAAUCAGAAAGCCACGGCUAACUACGUG
rnacentral:rRNA from 1 species